rnacentral:rRNA from 1 species
UACUGACGCUGAGGUACGAAAGCAUGGGGAGCAAACAGGAUUAGAUACCCUGGUAGUCCAUGCCGUAAACGAUGUCUACUAGCCGUUGGGGCCUUUGAGGCUUUAGUGGCGCAGCUAACGCGAUAAGUAGACCGCCUGGGGAGUACGGUCGCAAGACUAAAACUCAAAUGAAUUGACGGGGGCCCGCACAAGCGGUGGAGCAUGUGGUUUAAUUCGAUGCAACGCGAAGAACCUUACCUGGCCUUGACAUACUAGAAACUUUCCAGAGAUGGAUUGGUGCCUUCGGGAAUCUAGAUACAGGUGCUGCAUGGCUGUCGUCAGCUCGUGUCGUGAGAUGUUGGGUUAAGUCCCGCAACGAGCGCAACCCUUUUCCUUACUUGCCAGCAUUUCGGAUGGGAACUUUAAGGAUACUGCCAGUGACAAACUGGAGGAAGGCGGGGACGACGUCAAGUCAUCAUGGCCCUUACGGCCAGGGCUACACACGUGCUACAAUGGUCGGUACAAAGGGUUGCUACACAGCGAUGUGAUGCUAAUCUCAAAAAGCCGAUCGUAGUCCGGAUUGGAGUCUGCAACUCGACUCCAUGAGGUCGGAAUCGCUAGUAAUCGCGGAUCAGAAUGCCGCGGUGAAUACGUUCCCGGGCCUUGUACACACCGCCCGUCACACCAUGGGAGUUUGUUGCACCAGAAGUAGCUAGCCUAACUGCAAAGAGGGCGGUUACCACGGUGUGGCCGAUGACUGGGGUG